rnacentral:rRNA from 1 species
UACGUAGGGGGGCAAGCGUUGUCCGGAUUUAUUGGGCGUAAAGAGCGUGUAGGCGGCCUGACAGGUCUGCUGUGAAAACUCGAGGCUCAACCUCGAGAUGUCGGCGGAAACCGUCUGGCUAGAGUCCGGAAGAGGAGAGUGGAAUUCCUGGUGUAGCGGUGAAAUGCGUAGAUAUCAGGAGGAACACCUGUGGUGUAGACGGCUCUCUGGACCGCAACUGACGCUGAGACACGAAAGCGUGGGUAGCAAACAGG